rnacentral:rRNA from 1 species
GACAGAGGGUGCAAGCGUUGUUCGGAUUCAUUGGGCGUAAAGGGUGCGUAGGUGGCGCCGUAAGUCAGGUGUGAAAUCUCGGAGCUCAACUCCGAAACUGCACUUGAUACUGCGGUGCUCGAGUACUGGAGAGGAGAUUGGAAUUUACGGUGUAGCAGUGAAAUGCGUAGAUAUCGUAAGGAAGACCAGUGGCGAAGGCGAAUCUCUGGACAGUUACUGACACUGAGGCACGAAGGCCAGGGGGAGCAAACGGG